ensembl:lncRNA
AGGUAGAGGUGGUAUACAGAAGAUAGUCCUAUUUGGUAAAAGACCAAGUCCAUAUUAUGUUAAAAUAAGCUUCACAGAGUUCAAGUAACAGACACAUCUCAACAUCAACUGUUCAGAGGAGACAGCAUAAAUUAGGUGUUCAUGGUUGAAUUUCUGCAAAGAAACCACUACUAAAGGAUACCAAUAAAAAGAAGAGACUUGCUUGGGCCAAUAAACACGAGCAAUUGACAUUAGACCGGUGGAAAUCUGUCCUUUGGUCUGAUGAGUCCAAAGGAGGAGGAGAAGGUGUGAUGGUGUGGGGUGCUUUGCUGGUGAUACUGUCAGUGAUUUAUUUAGAAUUCAAGGUACACUUAACCAGCAUGGCUACCACAGCAUUCUGCAGCGAUACGUCAUCCCAUCUGAUUUGCGCUUAGUGGGACUAUCAUCUAUUUUUCAACAGGACGACUACCCAACACACCUCCAGGCUGUGUAAGGGCUAUUUGACCAAGAAGGAGAGGGAUUGAGUGCUGCAUCAGAUGACCUGGCCUCCACAGUCACCCGACCUCAACCCAAUUGAGAUGGCUUGGGAUGAGUUGGACCACAGAGUGAAGGAAAAGCAUCCAACAAGUGCUCAGCAUAUGUGGGAACUCCUACAAGAUUGUUGGAAAAGCAUUCCAGGUUGGUGAAGCUGGUUGAGAGAAUGCCAAGAGUGUGCAAAGCUGUCAUCAAGGAAAAGGGUGUCUACUUUGAAGAUUCUAAAAUAUACUUUGAUUUGUUUAACACUUUUUUGGUUACUACAUGAUUCCAUAUGAGUUAUUUCACUGUUAUUCUACAAAAUAGAAAAUAGUACAAAUAAAGAAAACCCCUGGAAUGAGUAGGUGUGUCCAAACUUUUGACUGUGGACCUGCAGGAGACUGGGUUAAGGUACGACAGAAAUUAAUUCUAGGUGGCUGUGAUUGCACUUUACGGAAACGCUGUCGUCAAAAUGAUUGUGGCAAUAUUUAUUGGUCAUAGAGGCCUUUACCCAAGAAUUAAUGCAUAACAGCAAAUCUUGUUAAGUUUUUAUUUUAUUUUUGUGUUUGUCAGAGGAUGGAGACUAUUUUGAUUAGAAAUGGAUUACUGUGACGAUCAUUAUUCUAAAUGGUUAACCAAUGGAAAGGCAGUAAGCACAGAUUUUGUAGAACACUUUCUUCUGCAGUGUGUUGAUUAUGGGGAUGUUAGUGGAUGAAAAAGGUUCAGAUUAUUAAAGUAGAUCCUUAAAAUGUACUGACC